UUAAAUUCUUCCUGGUGGCUUAGCAGCAUCGAUGCUGAGGGCAGGAAGAAGUGUGCUAUAUUCACAGCAUACAACAUUUCAGAAGAGCUUAGGGCACCUAAAGAGACCAGGACAUGUUCCAGGCUGCGGCUGACAGACGUCUGUAGGUGUGUGUGUUUGUAUGACUGCACGCACACAGCACACAGCCUGCAUUUCCCAUCCCUGCCCAAGCCAUGGGAGCCACAGGUACCCAAGGUGUUGCACGCAAGCCAAGUCGAGGAAGAUGCUCUGAGCAAUAACUGUGGUGCUGCUGUGCUCCCUCUGCUCUUGGCAAGCUCUGGUGGCUGCUUUAGGGCUUCUGUAAUGAAGCUGAAGCCCAAACAGAUUUGAGCCCCCCUUGAACGGAGAAGCUGCAGCUCUUAGUACUGGACAGCUACUCGUUAUAGGGUGUCGUUGAAAAAUAGCAACUAAUUUUUUUAAAAUCCUAAUUUAUAGGGCAUCUCUUGUAUGUGGUUUCCUAGAGGAACACUUGUUAGUUGAAAGCAAAAACAGUACAGCUGAAGUGCUUCCAUUUUUAGCUUAUCUAAUUCUGGGAAAGUCUUAUAUAGCUGAGUUGAAAACUGAAGACUAGACAUAAAGAUCUUUUUUCUACCCGCAAUUGCUACUCCAAGUUAUUUCUGAUGAGUUAAGCUGGCAAAUUCUACGUUGAAGCACAAGCUGGAGAUCUCUGUGGGGCUCAGUUUACCAACACAGGCCGUGUACUGAGCUAUUCCAAAAAGCGUGAUAUUAAAUUCACCAGCCAGCAUGGCCCCAGUGCGGCGGGUUGGAGCAUCUCUGCUGUUUUACUGUGCUGCUGGUGGCCGGGACAUCCUUGCCACUUGGGCUUGGAUGCUCUGUAGUGAGCGUUCCCCUCCUUGCUUGGGUAGAGGAGUGGGGUGGCGGUGAGAUUUGUCUCCUUUUAAAGCAGGAGCUGCUGUAGUUGAGGUGGCCAGAUAUCGGCCUGGGGAUCCAGCUGCAGAUGGAUGGUUAGAAACCUCUGGCUGGUGCGGGAGGUCAAAUCACACAGCCUCUCCUCUCAUCAGUUCUAGCACAUUGCGCGAGCUUGAAUUCUACAUGCCAGUAAUGUGACCAAAGCUGCAUUCUGAGGUUGGACUUCGCUUUUGGGUAAGCUGAUAUUAAGUUAAAAUUGAUAGACAGCGUUACCAAAACGGCUUGGAUGGCUGUGCUUUGUGCUCGCUGCUUCCUCUGUCCCACUUCUCUGCUGCUGGCAGCUGACGGCACAGCUGGGCAGGCGCUUCCCCAGGUGGCACGGCUGAUCCCAAGCUCUUCGUGUGCUGGCCAUGGGCUCCAAGGCGGCUCGGCUGCUCUCCCAGCUCUGCUUUGCCUUACCCUGGGCUCUGACACUCUCAAGGUAAGCCCUGAUUGCUUCAGGUCCACUGAAAGAGCAGAGCAGGAUGUGUUGGUGACACAGUCCGGGGCUUGGAUCUGAAGGUGAUGCCAAUCUGCAAGUCCCUGAGCAUGCCUCACGGUGUCAGGGCUGCCUGGUGUUGCACUGGGAUCUUGUUUUGCCUUUAUUUUUAUAAAAUACAUUGGUAUAUUUUGUCUUUUUGUGAGAUGCUGAUAGUUGGUUCUCUCACGCCACCCCAGUCUUUUUUUAGCACCCCACCCCAAUCUUUUUUUUGCCCAUUUUAGUUCUUCAUGUGCUGUGCAAGUGGCUAAUUGAAGCGUAUCCUUCGACGUAGAUGACAAACAGGCAGUGAAAAAUGUAGUGUUUAUUUUUCAGGGCAGGCUUCUGAUAAUUUUACAGUCCGGAGACUUUAGCCCUGUCAUUUCUGAUUCUACCUGCAAGAGAACAGUCACGCCAGAAUUUCUUCCUCUGCAUCCAAAAUAAUUUUCCAAGUAUUGAGACUAAUAAAACACUACAAAACUAUUAAACUGGAAUCCAACCACAAUGGAAACAGCUGUUUUAUGAACUAAAGAAGAAAGGGACUGACGUGAACCCAGGGUUUCCUACUGCAUUUAUAGAUGCACCUUCAUCAGGAGCAGCACCUGCUGCGUGCUGGGCUCUGGGCUGUGACUCCUGCUGGUGUUUUUUUGGCACUGGAGGCUGAGUACGGAGUGAAAUCUGCUCAUAUAUACCCAGAGCAGGAGUGUAAGCUGUUGUGGCCAGUUCUGGACUAGUGAUGUCUCAAUUCUACAAGACAAUUGUGUGAGUAUUUGGAAGAAAUAUGCGGGGUACAAUGAGGAGUCAAGAGUUUCUUUGAGUUACUAUGACCGAUAGGAAAGGCUAGCCUCCAGCAAGGCGCCAGUGCUCGGGGCAUACACAGCCACAUUACUUGUGCAAAUGCAACUUGAAACUUGAAAUAUUGGGUUUUGAUGCAGAAUUAAUAGCUCUGAGAGUUUCCCAGAAAUUUCACGUGCUAAAUUUUAGCUCAAAAUCCUUUAGAUUGCCUUUAAGCUGUUGAGGGAAACGGUUUAUUAAUGGAAACACGAAAUGCUAACACCAGUGUAGUGAGGAGCAGAGAUGAAAUGUCUCUGAAGAGAAAAUGCAGGGUCUAGAGGUAGAAAAACAAUUUUUUAAGCAAGCACUUUUUCAAAGGCUGAGGUUUUUUUGAAAACAAUUUGGUGCCAAAAGCUUAACCUGUUUUUCAUAAACAUGGUUACUGGUUGGAGCCAAAACAAACAAUUAAGGUCCUUAAAUGAACCUAAGUGAGGAAUUAUAGCUCCCCUCGCCGAAUGCUAAAAAUUGUGAGUGUGGCCGAGCUGCUGAAAGGAAGUUCAGUGGUGGGACGGGGGGCGUGCAAGGCUUCCUGCUCACGCCUCCCUCCGUCUUGCUUUCCUUGGAGGUACAUAGCAGAGAUGCUUUAGCCGUGAGGCUUUGGGGUGAUCGUGCUCAAAUCUGGGAACGGAGGUGGCUCUGACUUGACAGAAGUGGAAGGAAAGCCAUUAGCAACUGCACUGCACGUGAGCCCAAGGCGUGACCGUGUGGAUGUCUUGAAGCACUGCCUCCCCUCCCUGCUUUCUGCACAUACGCGGCCCACCUCGGGUUGGUAGAAGUCUUGUGGAGGGCAGCCAGGUUUGUGGAGUGGAUCUGGGGGAGCAGGAAGACUCGGGUCUGCGGGGAUCUUGGGCGAGUCAUUCUGCUUUGGUGCUUUGAUCCACUCUGGAAGGCAGAGGGCUUCCAGUUAGAAGCAAAAUCCCUCCAUUGUGGACAAAUAUUUGGGAUUUCUGAGGGACGCUGCGUCCUCGUAGUGUUUCAGUCAUCCGUGUGCUCCUUCCUUGGCAGGUUAGAGAUGCUGGACAUGAAGGUUACACACCAGCAAGUUGCAGAGGAUUGUUUUCUCAUCUGUUCUGUAGUCCCAAGUUCAGAAAGGACAGCCAGGUGGGGCUUACUCACACCCGUGAAGUGAACUGGAGUUUGAAGCUAACUCGGUAUUAACCUAAAUAAACAAACCAGUGGUGGUGGCUGUUUUGUGUUUUUCCUCUACUGUCUGUGAGGGAAGUGUCAGGCUGCAUUAUUUGCGAGCUGCUGCAGAGAUUGGACUUCUGCAUGACAUCUUCACCUCAUAAAUGCCUCGCUGCAGAAAGAGGAAUAGCUGGCACUUUUUUCUUUUCCAAUCCUGCGACUCCCACAGCCGUACCCUGGUGAUCUGAGUGCGCUGGGUGGCAGCCGUUGGCAGCCGGGAGAUCUUCGCAGGGCGACUUUGCAGGAAGUACGCUGAGACAAAUCAGCUGGAUGCGUGCUCGGGUAACUUAUAAACAAAAUAUUUGCCUUUAAACAUUAACCAAAAAGGAAAUGAAGCAAGGAAAUGUUAGUAAUCCUCCUUAAGGAGUGCAAGGAACAAUGUCAGUGUUGAUUUUUUUCAAAAAAACAACAUCAUUGCUGCCUGUUAAAAUACCAGCAUAUUGUUUUUUAGCGGAUGCAGCGCUUUCACCCACACCACAGAAUUCCUAUACAGUGAGUAUACCUGCUGCUUGUUGAUACAGCACUGCUUUGGCAUCUUAAAAAUGAGCCUUUUCCUCAAAAUGUAGGACCUAAAUCAUAGCUUCAGGAUCUGCGCGUGGCUGGAGAAGCCUGGCUGAAGAGGGCAGGUGAGGCUCACAGGGCAGCGAUAUGUGGAGAGCCUUCUUACUUGGGGGGCUCGGGCGGGUUUGUGAAGCUUGAUGGACGGCAGCUGCACCCACAUCUACGUCCUAAAUCUUCCAGACACGUUGUCCACUACAGCAAGAGGCUGUGUUUGCCCAGAGCCUGGCAGGGUGGUGGAUGCGGUGAAUGCUGGAGAGCUGCGUCCCAGCUGCGCCUGUGAUCUGAGCAAAAGCCAAAGGGUCUGGCCUGAUCCCCCUGCGGCUCCUGGAUGUUCCCAUGUGGGUACUCCUGGGCCAUGUCCCUCUUCAGCUGCUGGCUUCUGUUAAAACUCCAAUUUGAGCAUGUUCAUUAAAAAAGAAGGUUACCUCUCACUGUGCCCUCAGCUGCUGGGGGAGCCCUGCUGAUAAGGAAGGCUCCAUAUGCAUGUAGCGAAGGCAUUUGCAGCAUUGGGUUUGCUGUUUGGUGUGUGUAUGUAGGCUGGCUUUUCCUUAGUGAAACGGGACCUGGUGUUGUUCAUGUUCCUAGUUGCAACAGCCAAAUGACAGAACUGUUUCUAAUAGUUGCAGCAGGGAGAAAUCAGAUGGCAGUAUCAGUGAGAGCAGUGACUGAGCAAGUGCUUAAACCUGGAGGAGAGUAAACCUCGAUGAAUGCAGACGAAUUGCACAUAUUUAGAGGCACUUCAAAGAAGCUUUUGCCUAGCUGUCGUAGGAGCAAAUAUCAGUGUGAAUUUCAUGUUGGGCUGCUUCGGCAGUUACAACUUGCAGACAAACCAUCAUGUUCCCUGCUCCUGUCGCCCCCCCCACUGACAGAGGUUACCCUGGUUGCACCAGUAGGGCCCCUGCAAGGGAUCCUUGGCAGAGCACAAGAAAAUUUUUGAAAUAUUUGUCAACUUCUUUGGAAAGCAGCUUUGUCUGUUUGCUGUCACUUCGUUUUGGAAGUUGAUGUUGGGCUCCUUAGCAUCCAGAAACAAAUGACGAGCUGAGUGCUGGACUUGCUGCAGUUACGCGAUGGUGAGUUGGGAUGGUUUUGUCUCUCCAAAGGAAGGAGGGGCUUCUCCCUCUGUUUUGGGGUUUUGGCACACGUUACCAAAAUAUUUGCAGUGCUGUAACAUGCAUUAUUUCAUCUGGAAAGUGGGAAGUAAGACAUAUUUGUUCCUAUAUGUAAAUAGUCUUUAGGAAAAAAAGCUCACCAAGAAGUUGGCUUUGUAAACCCAGUCUGCUUUGCUCCUCCUCGCAGUGUGAGUUUCUGCCAACUCUGCUUUGGGGGAAGGCACGUGCCCUUCCAGGUCAUCUCAGGGCCUAACAAAAGGGGUUUGCAGCUCUCCCCCUGUCCUUGUAGGAGUAGACGAGCCCUGGUAAAUGGCGUUACCCCAGUGCAGCCGUGGCGGUGACCUUCUUAGGAAAUGCCGGUCGUGCCAGAGCACAUAACCUUCCUCCCGAUCCGUCCCCGGCAUAGGAGGGGCUGGGGGAUACAAAGGAGCCUGGGAAGGGGAAUGCGAAUUCUUCUGUACAAAGGAAGCUCAGAGCCCCGUGGAGGCUUGGGGACGGUGGAAAGCUUUAAAGAAGCGUGGUUUGCCGCUCCGGUCUCAUAUGCGAAAAUGAGAAGGAAAAAGUGAGAAAGGAAUGAAAAGAUCGUGCAAAUGAGCUCAGGUGUUGCUGAAGCUGCGUCCAGAAGAGGAAAGAACCGCUUUGCUACAUGCUGCUGAAAAACUUCCUGCCUUCCUGAUGUGCCCGCGCCGCUCAAAAUAUCCCCGGGUCGCUUUGGGAUCUCACACCCCUCCCGAGAGCACGCUGGCAAGCUGUUUACGCCAGACUGGUAUAUACGCUUCUGCUUUGAAAGAGAGCCUCUUCUGAGGUUGAAUAGCUUCUUUCAUUCUUCCGAUUAAAAUUAGAAAUGUUCAUUUUU